rnacentral:rRNA from 1 species
GACAGCAGCCCCGCGGGAAUACAGAGGGUGCGAGCGUUAAUCGGAUUUACUGGGCGUAAAGCGUGCGUAGGCGGCUUCUUAAGUCGGAUGUGAAAUCCCUGAGCUUAACUUAGGAAUUGCAUUCGAUACUGGGAAGCUAGAGUAUGGGAGAGGAUGGUAGAAUUCCAGGUGUAGCGGUGAAAUGCGUAGAGAUCUGGAGGAAUACCGAUGGCGAAGGCAGCCAUCUGGCCUAAUACUGACGCUGAGGUACGAAAGCAUGGGGAGCAAACAGGAUUAGAUACCCCCGUAGUCCCUGUCUCUUAUACA